GCUACAUUAUUCUAGGAGGGUGAGUGCUCUAAAAAAAAGAGAGUGAAUACGAGGAAAUAAAAAGGGGCAAGUGCCCGAAACCUCGAAGAAAAGAAAAAGUGAGAUGAGAGGUAAAAAUGAACAAGUGUCUGACAGUAGAAUUAGGGGUACAAGAUACCCACCUGAGAGAAAAGAAAAAAAUAUAUAGAGCAUCUCAUUCCCUUCAAAAAGCUUCAAAGUGCAAGGUAUUGUAUCCCCUCAAAAGAGCAAAAGUAGAAUUAGACUUUCACCAAUAUUUUCACCAUCAUCACC
rnacentral:lncRNA from 1 species